rnacentral:rRNA from 1 species
AGUGAACGCUGGCGGUAGGCCUAACACAUGCAAGUCGAACGGCAGCACAGGAGAGCUUGCUCUCUGGGUGGCGAGUGGCGGACGGGUGAGGAAUACAUCGGAAUCUACCUUUUCGUGGGGGAUAACGUAGGGAAACUUACGCUAAUACCGCAUACGACCUACGGGUGAACGUGGGGGACCGCAAGGCCUCACGCGAUUAGAUGAGCCGAUGUCCGAUUAGCUAGUUGGCGGGGUAAUGGGCCACCAAGGCGACGAUCGGUAGCUGGUCUGAGAGGAUGAUCAGCCACACUGGAACUGAGACACGGUCCAGACUCCUACGGGAGGCAGCAGUGGGGAAUAUUGGACAAUGGGCGCAAGCCUGAUCCAGCCAUACCGCGUGGGUGAAGAAGGCCUUCGGGUUGUAAAGCCCUUUUGUUGGGAAAGAAAUCCUGUCGAUUAAUACUCGGUGGGGAUGACGGUACCCAAAGAAUAAGCACCGGCUAACUUCGUGCCAGCAGCCGCCGUAACAC